rnacentral:lncRNA from 1 species
GAAAUAUAGUGAAUGACAAAUAACAAUUAUAUUCUUAUAAAUUUUAACUUUUAUAUGUUGUCUUUAACGAAAAGUCCUGAUAUUUCAAAUAUGUUCCUCUUCAUUAUAAUCUGUUAGAAAAAAUUUAGUUAACCAUAUGUUUAAAUACCUAAUCCUAUUUAAUUUUGGACAUUUUUAUCUCUUUUUAUUAUAACUGUUAUGGUUUUUAGAGGGAUAUAUUUGUGAUGGCACAAAUUAAAAUAUAAACAGUUUUCUAACAGUUAAAAAACUAGCCAGGUCAGUUCAAGGCUAGGGCUUCCAGGUUCAUUUUGUCCCAUUAUAUUAGUGCCAAACUAUAAAAUAGAGGAUGAAAUUAAUCAUGUUUUUCUUUAAAAACUUAAUGAGAAACGAAAGUUCCAAAUGUUGUUCCAAUUACUGUUUGGUCAGCUGGUUAUGUCCAGUCAAACUGAUAUAGUGAUGCCACUAUGUUACACAUGUUGGAUACUUCUUUCAAAACACUUUAACAUAAGACUCAGGGAAAAAAAAGAACAAAAAUUCUACUGACUGUGAGCCAAUUUGGCUCGUAGGUUUUACACCACCACGUUGUGGGUGAAAACUGACUUUCCAAAAGCAAAAAGUUGUUCUUCUCCAUUCUGCGGUCCCACCGCAACUAUCACAAUGUGCUUUGAUGGCAACAAAUCCACACAAUGUGAAAAUAUACCCUUCAGAGAACUUCCCCCAUGCAUCCCACCUGAUUGUGGAAAGCAGCUCUCGGCGCAACCGGUCAACUGGGGCCUUAGGAAUCAUAGGUUUGAAACCAGGAUUAAAGGUGUGCUAUCGACACGGGUCCAUAUCCGACCGUGCCGUAUCGUCGCAGCAAGAGAUCGGCACGAACAGCCCCCCUGUGCAAUGGCACAACUCAACACCUCCGUAUUCUGCAAUUAGUAAGUAAUUUUCUCAAACAAAGUUCAAAAAAUUUGAUAAUAAUAUAUAAUGAAAUAAUACAUAUUUUGUUUGCUAAGAAAAAUAAAUAGUUGUUCAUACUCAAUUACGUGUCACACAACAAAUUUUUGACCGGCAUGCAUCGGCAACUGCCCCUGCACGGCACCGGUGCUGUACCAUGCCGGCAAGUGUCCGGCACGAUCGCCUUGUCACGACACUUUAAUCCUUGGUUGAAACUUCUGGAUUAUAGGUUGCAAAGUUCAGCGAGUGGUGCCAACUAACAAAGGAAUCACAAUAAAUAAAGUACCAAUUAAAGAUAAGAGAUAGAAGUCAAUUUUUUCGUACAAUACAGGGGGUUGUAUUAGGGUAACUAAAGGCUUUCUUGUUUAGUUAUAAUCUUAACUCUCCUAAGUCUGAACUAGGANNNNNNNNNNNNNNNNNNNNNNNNNAAAAAACGACCCACUUCAAAAAGAAGAAUUAAGCGCAAGACUACAGCUACGUCGAGUAUAUAAGGGAGGAAUGAAAAGAGACCCUUUAUUACUCACCACAAUAGCACCAUUGGAUGUCGGGGAGACUAAUAAGGGAGGCGAUAUACAUCCUGUACCCUCUAUGCCCAAUUCCCAUUUAUAUACCACAAAGACGGUUCAACCUUUUUAACCUAUCUCUCAGAGCGAAGUGGAGAUUAUACUAAUAUCCUGCGGGAAUUGAAGUACUCUCAAUUAAAUUCAAGAGGUAAACUGUACUAUAUAUUAUUCGCAACUAGAUGACUUACACUCAAUACCUUCAUUUACUAUAUAUAUCUACAACCACUUUUUCUUAUCCCAUAUUAUCUAUCGCAAACGCUAUUUUUUUUUAAUUCCCGCGAAUAACCAAAUUCUAUACAAACGAUUUUUUUUAUCCCAUGGUUGUCCUAUCCGCUGUAAUACUAGUUCUUAUUAUACCCGCCAAAACGCUAUAAGUUUUUGAUUGUUAGAUCUAUACUUUUGACAUUUCCAUCCGUAAAUCACUAUUCAACUAACACCCAUUCAAUCAUAGGGACCAGUAUUUCCUUAAUUGCACAUCCAACGGUUCGAAAAUUUAGUGAGUUUAAUAGAGUCUAUACUCAUAAGAGUAUUAUAGCCUUAGCUUAUAUAUAUAGAAUUAGGUCUACUAUACUAUUUAUAGUAAUCAACUGCUGUUAUAGGUUUCGGCCCUUGAAUGAAGGAUGUUGGUGGUCGGAUGAUAGCUAGGGUAGAUGAGGGGUGGCAAGUUGAAUUGCUAGACUUACGGAUGAAAAAUAGCCAAAAGGAUAGAUCAAAUAGCAAAACUCGAUAGAACAAACACUUGUACUAUCAAUAGUAUGAGCGCGGACUCUCUAUAUUAGGGUAGAUCUAACGACAAAAAACUCUAUAGCACAAAAUGAUCGGUACUAUAGAUAGUAAUAAUAGCCGACUAUAUAUAUUAGAGAGAGAUAGAGUCCGGCUACUAUAUUAUCGAUAGUACAAAUGCAUAGCUGCAAUCGAAUUUUGUAAGCCGUUAGAUCUACAUUUUGACCAUUUCUACCCGACUCUAGAGAUCAUCUAUCAUUCUAACCGCACAUCCUCUUCAUCCAAGAACGAAAACUAAUAGCAAGUGAAUUGGUACUUAUAUAUAUAUAGUAUAUAUCCGUGCUAUACUAUCAAUAGCAGCAGAUUUCCGUGCAUGCCCAAGUUGUUUUCGAUGAUGCGGCUUCGUCAAAUCGCUGAUCGCUCCGUUAGACUUGAUCUACACUAUUGAAAGUAUUUGGAAACUAAAUUUCAGAAUUUUCGACAUCAUUUGGCUAGUGAUAAAAGGUCUCAAAAUUUAACAAUUUAAUGGUAGAUGGUGAUGCAUUUGUAAAUUUAACGAUGUAAAACAAUCCAAAUCAAAUGAAAUUUUUAUAGAAAAUCUUUUUACUAUUAUAGAGUAGAUCAGUACCUCUGAUCUUAGAAUUCAAGUCUCUAUCAUCAUUUUUUUAUUAGAUUUUUAUAUUUAAGCCAUUCAUUUUAGACUACUCGUUUGAUAGGUAAAUGAUACCGAAAAAUUAUGAAAUUUAGUUUCAAUACUUUCAUAGUGUAAUCAAGUCUAACGGAGCCGAUCGUCGAUUUGGAAGCGCAUCAUUGAAAACAACUUGGUAGUCAUGAAGGCGUCCGUGCUACCGAUAGUAUAGCAGCCAGCUCUAUAUAUAUAUAUAUAUAUAUAUUAUGGAGAGAGAGAGAGAGAGAGGAGAGAGAGAGAGACUAGGCUCUCCUAUGCUUUCGAAACUGUACAGGAGCCUCCGUACUUGUAAGUUUGUUUUUCGAUGAUGGGACGUCCGAUUGGCGAUCGGUUCCGUUAGACAUAUCUACACUUUGGAACUAUCUAAAAACCAAUUUUCAUAUUUUUUUGACUUCGUUUGCCUAGUGAACGGUAGCCUCAAAAUGAACGGCUGAAAAUAAAAAAUCUCAUAAAAAAUAAUGAUAAAGGACUCAAAUUCAAAUCGAAAGUAUUGAUCUUGCUAUUGACGUUUAUGUAGAAUUUUCUAUUAAAUUUUCAUAUAAUUGGAUACUUCUACAUCGUUGAACUUAAAAACGUACCGCAUCGGCCGUUAAAAUAGUCAUUUUUUGGAGCAUUUGAUCGCUUAGUAAAUGUGUCAAAAAUUCAUAAAAUUUGGUUCCUAGAUAGUUCCAAUAUGGUAGAUUAUACCUAACGAGCCGAUCGUUGAAUCGAUGUCCUAUUAUGCGAAAACACUUACAAGUACGGAGGUUUCGGUACUUUCGAAGUAUAGUAGACGUCCAAUAUAUAUAUAUAUAGUAUAGUAUAUAUAUAUAUAACAUAUAUAUGUAUAUAUAUAAUCAUAUAUUAUAUAUAUAUAUACAUAUGAUAUGUAAUAUUAUAUACAUAUAUAUGUAUAAUAUAUCAUAUAUUAUAUAUAUAUACAUAUAUUAUAUAUAUAUAUACAUAUAUAUAUAUAUUAAGCUCCUAUGCUUUUAAAAGUACCAAGACAUUGGUGCUUAUAAGUUUUUAGCCUUUAGAUUAAAAAUAUAUGGUUAGGAUAAUGUGGGCCCCCUUAGGGUUGAGUGGUGGGUUGGUUGAAUAGUAUAAUCGAACGGUGUAAAUGAUACAUGCUGAUCUAACGGUUAAAAACCUACAAAGCACAAUGUGAUUGGUGCUUUACAAGCACCAUAGGCCGGACUAUAUAUAUAUAUAAUAAAUAUAUAUAUAGUAAUAUAUAUAUAUAUAUAUAUAUAUAUAUAUAUAUAUAUAUAUAUAUAUAUAUAUAUAUAUAUAUAGUCCGUUACUAUAACUGUGAUCAGUAGUAUCAAGCCCUUGGUACUAUUAAGUCUUCUGCCGUUAGAUCUACCCUUUGAUCAUUUCCACCCGUUAGAUUAUACUAUUAAACCAACCACCCACUCAACCCUAGGGGACCACUAUCAAUUUAACCGGGGACCACUAUCAUCCUAACCGCACAUCCUUUCAUCCAACGGCCGAAAACUCAAUAGUACCAAGGGCUUGGUACUAUUGAUAGUAUAGUUGCAUAAUUCUAUAUAUAUAUAUAUAUAUAUAUAUAUAUAUAUCGAGCUUUUCGAGCUUAAUUUGAGCGAGCCCGGUAAUACUCAAGCUUGGCUUGAAAUUAAUUUCGAGCCUAAAUUUAGGCUCAAGCUUGGCUCGAAAUUAAUUCGAGCGGAGCUCGAGCGAGCAGAAUAUCGAGCCGAACGCGAGUCGAACACGAGCUCAAAACUUCAGAAAUAUCUCAUUUAUCCCCUUUUUUUUUUUCUUUCCAAUAUACCCCUUAUAUAUUCCUCCGUUAUUUCAAAAUACCCUUACAGUUACCACCCAUUAAGUUAACUUGGGUUAAACGUAAGUUAAAUAUCUAACACAGUUAAAAAAAAAUUAAAAUGUCAAUUUUGCCCUUAACUUAAGGGUAAAUAAGAAAUCUUGGUGACGGUAGAGAGGUAUAUUUGAAAAAAUCAAAAGUCAAAAUACUUUUUGUGCUCCUGACUUAAAGGGCAAAUAAGAAAAGUCGGUAAUGAUGGAAGGAUAUAUUUGAAUGGGUAAAACAUAAAUUUUAUAUAGAUAAAAUAGUUCAUUAAUAAAUUUUAACUAUAGGGGUAUAUUUGAAAUAGGUAAUAAAUUUUAACUAUAGGGGUAUAUUUGAAAUAGGUUGUAACGUAAAAAAAAUAUUUUCAAUAUUAGCCUUCCAUCAUUAUUAAAUCAGAAUUUUCAAUAUUAGCCUUCUAAGAGAAGUAAAUCAGAAUCGAAAAUUUUUCAGGAGUAUAUAAGCAAUUGCNGAAUGACAAAUAACAAUUAUAUUCUUAUAAAUUUUAACUUUUAUAUGUUGUCUUUACGAAAGUCCUGAUAUUUUCAAAUAUGUUCCUGUCAUUAUAAUCUGUUAGAAAAAUUUAGUUAACCAUAUGUUAAAUACCUAAUCCUAGUUAAUUUUGGACAUUUUUAUCUCUUUUUAUUAUACUGUUAUGGUUUUUUAGAGGGAUAUAUUUGUGAUGGCAAAAUUAAAAAUAUAAACAGUUUUCUAACAGUAACAAACUAGAGGAAUAUAUUUGAAAACAUCAGAAUUUUGAAAGGACAAUAUAUGAAAGUUGAACUUUGUAGAAAUAUAUUUGUCAUUCACUAUUUUUGUAGGAACCUGUAUGAAAUUAAUCCCUUUUUUUAUAUCCAUGAUACGACACGGU